rnacentral:rRNA from 1 species
AGGAUAAACGCUGGCGGCGUGCAUGAGACAUGCAAGUCAAACGGACGAUCGGGGUUCGCUCUGAUCGUUAGUGGCGGACGGCUGAGUAACGCGUAGGUGACCUGCCCCGAAGUGGGGAAUAACUGCCCGAAAGGGUGGCUAAUACCGCAUGUGGUGGUGCGUUCGAUCGCACCAGUAAAGCCGCAAGGCGCUUCGGGAGGGGCCCGCGUCCGAUUAGCUCGUUGGUGAGGUAACGGCUCACCAAGGCGACGAUCGGUAGGUGGUCUGAGAGGACGAUCACCCAGACUGGGACUGAGACACGGCCCAGACUCCUACGGGAGGCAGCAGUCGGGAAUUUUGCGCAAUGGACGAAAGUCUGACGCAGCAACGCCGCGUGAGGAUGAAGGCCUUCGGGUUGUAAACCUCUUUUUCCAGGGAAGAUAAUGACGGUACCUGGCGAAUAAGUCACGGCUAACUACGUGCCAGCAGCCGC